rnacentral:rRNA from 1 species
UGAAUACGAGAUGCUACGGCGUCGAAGCAGUCUAUGUCAUACUUCCAAGAAAAGCUCGCACUGUCAUAAACAAAUAAUGCCUGUACCAUAACCGACACAGGUGGGUAGGUAGAGUAUACUAAGGGGCGCGAGAUAACUCUCUCUAAGGAACUCGGCAAAAUGACUCCGUAACUUCGGGAGAAGGAGUGCCUUAUUUAUAAGGUUGCAAUAACAAGAUCCAAGCAACUGUUUAUCAAAAACACAGGUCUCCGCUAAGUCGUAAGACGAUGUAUGGGGGCUGACGCCUGCCCAGUGCCAGAAGGUUAAAGAAGUUGGUUAGUGUAUGCGAAGCUGAUGACUGAAGCCCUGGUGAACGGCGGCCGUAACAAUAACGGUCCUAAGGUAGCGAAAUUCCUUGUCGGGUAAGUUCCGACCCGCACGAAAGGCGUAAUGAUUUGGAUACUGUCUCGGAGAGAGGCUCGGUGAAAUAGACUUGUCUGUGAAGAUGCGGACUACCUGCACCAGGACAGAAAGACCCUAUGAAGCUUUACUGUAACUUGAAAUUGGAAUUGGACUUUGCUUGCGCAGUAUAGGUGGGAAGCGUUGAAAAUAUUCUUGCGGGAGUAUUGGAGCUAUCAGUGAGAUACCACUCUUGUAAUGUUAGAUUUCUAACUUUGAACCAUAAUCUGGUCAAAGAACAGUUUCAGGUGGGCAGUUUGACUGGGGCGGUCGCCUCCCAAAUGGUAACGGAGGCGUACAAAGGUUUCCUCUGAACGGAUAGAAAUCGUAUCUAGAGUGUAAAGGCAUAAGGAAGCUUGACUGUGAGACCUACAAGUCGAGCAGGGACGAAAGUCGGUCUUAGUGAUCUGGCGGUACUGAGUGGAAAGGCCGUCACUCAACGGAUAAAAGUUACUCUAAGGAUAACAGGCUGAUCUCCCCCAAGAGUUCACAUCGACGGGGAGGUUUGGCACCUCGAUGUCGGCUCAUCGCAUCCUGGGGCGGUAGUACGUCCCAAGGGUUGGGCUGUUCGCCCAUGAAAGCGGUACGCGAGCUGGGUUCAGAACGUCGUGAGACAGUUCGGUCCAUAUCCGGUGUAGGCGCUAGAAUAUUGAGAGGAGCCUUCUUUAGUACGAGAGGACCGAGAAGGACACACCGCUGGUGUACCAGUUAUCGUGCCAACGGUAAACGCUGGGUAGCUAUGUGUGGAGUGGAUAACCGCUGAAAGCAUCUAAGUGGGAAGCCCACCUCGAGAUGAGUAUUCUCAUC